GUGCUUGCUUCAGCAGCACAUAUUCUAAAAUUGGAACAAUACACAGAAAAUUAGCAUGGCCCCUGAGCAAGGAUGACACGCAAAUUCAUGAAGAGUUUCAUAUUUUU